rnacentral:rRNA from 1 species
AGCGCAGGCGGUGCGGCAAGUCUGAUGUGAAAGCCCGGGGCUCAACCCCGGUACUGCAUUGGAAACUGUCGUACUAGAGUGUCGGAGGGGUAAGCGGAAUUCCUAGUGUAGCGGUGAAAUGCGUAGAUAUUAGGAGGAACACCAGUGGCGAAGGCGGUUUACUGGACGAUAACUGACGCUGAGGCUCGAAAGCAUGGGUAGCAAACA